UACGUAGGGUGCAAGCGUUGUCCGGAAUUACUGGGCGUAAAGAGCUCGUAGGUGGUUUGUCGCGUUGUUCGUGAAAACUCACAGCUUAACUGUGGGCGUGCGGGCGAUACGGGCAGACUGGAGUACUGCAGGGGAGACUGGAAUUCCUGGUGUAGCGGUGGAAUGCGCAGAUAUCAGGAGGAACACCGGUAGCGAAGGCGGGUCUCUGGGCAGUAACUGACGCUGAGGAGCGAAAGCGUGGGGAGCGAACAGG
rnacentral:rRNA from 1 species